AGGAAUCCUGGGACAAAGUAUCAAAGGCAAACCCUCAUAGUGUGAGAAACAUUAUGAAAACCAAAAGUUAAGGGGCCAAAACAUAAAAAGUCAGAUGAAGAUGAGUCAUUUAAUGGUUUCAUUCUUACUGGACCAUUCUGGCUGGAGACAAUAAGUAGAAGACUGUUUUGUGGCAAUUCUCAUAAAACGAAACCUAACUCACCUAUUCUCAGUAUUCGACCAGCAAAACACCUCACUUACCUGUGCACAUGAUCUAAUGCAACAGAGUCCCUAACAGGUUAUAUCUGGUGAGUAUGCAGACAUACAGAUCUUCUUUGUCUUAAAACAGGUUUUAGCUGUGGCACUGACAUUUUGGACCAAAUCCAUCUUUGUUGUGGAGGCUGUCCUGUACAUCAUAGGAUAUUUAGCAGCAUCCCUACUUUCCACUCCCCAGAUCCUGUACCACCCCUUCCUCAAGCUGUGAUAACCAAAACUGUCUUCUGACAUUGCUCUAAUGUCUCCAUGGGGAGCAAAAUCACUCCCUAUGGGAACCAGUGUCGUAAACCAUUUUAGAGGCAAACUAUAAACUAACUAACUAACUCCCCAAACUGUGAUGGUGGAAAUAGUCUAUGACUUCCUAAUACAGCAGCUGAUCACUACAUGAUGCUACUAAGCACCUGAAAUGUGGCCAAGUAUGAGGAGAAUUCUUAAUUUCAUUUUAAUUAAGUCCUACAUAUACUAUAAGGACAAGAUGCUUCAUCAUGGAAUGCUGUGUAGAUAUCCGAUACCUUUAUUAAAAAUCAUGUGGUUGAUAGGCAAUAAAAACUUACAGAGAGGGUUUCACCAUGUUGUCCAGGCUGGUCUCAAAUUAGCCACCCACCUCCAAAAGAGCUGGGAUUACAGGUGUGAGUCACUGCACCAGGCAUAAAUGUUUUAUUAGUCCUAUUUCUAUCCAUUUAAUUUUCAUUCUGACUAGGUAUUUGUUAAAUUAAAAGGUGAACUGUGACGUUAAAGAUUACAAUGAAUGAUACAAAUUUAAAUUCUCUUUUAAAUCAAAAAGUUUUAAGUUGUUUUUUUGCAUGAUAGGAAUCAUGACUGAAAAUAUAAGAAUGCAAAAAAAGGUGCUCUAACUGAAUUCUGGUAAAUCAAUCCUUCCUUGAGAGAAAAGAAAAACUAAACAAAUUUAAAGGAAAGGCCAACCAGGAUUGAAAGAAAACAUUUAUUGAAUCAAAAUCAAUACUUUCUUUUUAAUAUCUACAAGCCAACACAGAACUCAUUUUAUUCAAGAAUGAACACAAUGUACAAAAAAAGUAUGCUUAUAUUAUAAAAAUAUGUCAAUUUUAUCUUCUGGGUGCUUAGCAGAAGUCAUUUUAAACAAAAUCAAGGCAAACUUGUUCUCUAUAAUGAGUCUGCUAUAAUUUAACAACAAAGUGAAAGCUAAUGUAAUCACGAAGUAUUUUUAAAGGUCCACUGAUAAUGCUGCACUGGAAAUGCUAAACCCAAUGUUAACUAAAGUCAACAUUUCCGCUCUAUGCUUAUUGGCACCACUUCAUGCCUACAUCAUGGGAAAGUACCUCUUUUACAGACUGCAGAUCACUGCUAACAGAAUCCAUGUGACUCAGUCUUCAGUUUCCCUUGCUUAACAUGUUAGCAUAUAUUUCAGCAAAGAUUAACGGUAUAAUGAAUGUUGAGUAGUAAAAUCCUAUUUAAUUAGCUUCAAUUUAAAAAUGAGAUAUGCUGCUAUGGGGAACAAAUGACCUCUUGAGAUUUACAACCCCAUUUUAAAUGUGGGAAAGCUGCCUCCCUAAAAAAAAAAAAAAAAAAAAAAAAAAUAUGUCCAAGGUUAAUACUGUAUCUUUUUUUUUUUGUAGUUUUCUUAUUUCUUGAUUUUAUUGGCACCUCCCAGGCACUUUGGCAUGUGCUCCUGUAUAAAGUGUAGUUACUGUGCCUGUAGAGUGAGUUAGUGACAGCUGCAGAGUAGUUAUAGGGUGACAAGUCCACUUUUGGCUUACCAUGGAGAUCUGCUCCAACACACGCUGGUCGUUGGAGCAGCAAAAAAAAAAAAAACAAAAC